GAACGGGUGAGUAACACGUGGGAAACCUGCCCCUUUCUUCGGGAUAACUUCGGGAAACCGUUGCUAAUACCGGAUACUCCGGGAUGGUCGCAUGGCCGACCCGGGAAAGCUUUAUGUGGAAAGGGAUGGUCCCGCGGCCCAUUAGCUUGUUGGUGGGGUAAUGGCCUACCAAGGCGAUGAUGGGUAGCCGAGCUGAGAGGCUGAUCGGCCACACUGGGACUGAGACACGGCCCANACUCCUACGGGAGGCAGCAGUGGGGAAUUUUGCGCAAUGGGCGAAAGCCUGACGCAGCAACGCCGCGUGCGGGAUGAAGGCCCUCGGGUUGUAAACCGCUUUCAGCAGGGAAGAAAAUGACGGUACCUGCAGAAGAAGCCCCGGCUA
rnacentral:rRNA from 1 species